AAACAAUAUACCAUACAAACCAACUACUUUUGGAUUCCAUUGAUAUGCUUCUCCGGUUUUUGAAUAAUAUCCAUCAUAAUCAAAAUAUAUGAUUAUGCCCAUUCUCCUGGAAAAAACAAA
rnacentral:sRNA from 1 species